UACUCGAGUGGCGAACGGGUGAGUAACACGUGGGUGAUCUGCCCUGCACUUCGGGAUAAGCUUGGGAAACUGGGUCUAAUACCGGAUAGGAGCCAUCUUUAGUGUGGUGGUUGGAAAGUUUUUUUGGUGUAGGAUGAGCUCGCGGCCUAUCAGCUUGUUGUGGGGUAAUGGCCUACCAAGGCGGCGACGGGUAGCCGGCCUGAGAGGGUGUACGGCCACAUUGGGACUGAGAUACGGCCCAG
rnacentral:rRNA from 1 species